CGAGCGAGACCUUCGGGUCUAGCGGCGGACGGGUUAGUAACGCGUGGGAACGUACCCUUUUCUGCAGGAUAGCCACUGGAAACGGUGAGUAAUACUGCAUACGCCCUUUGGGGGAAAGAUUUAUCGGAGAAGGAUCGGCCCGCGUUAGAUUAGAUAGUUGGUGGGGUAAUGGCCUACCAAGUCUACGAUCUAUAGCUGGUUUGAGAGGAUGAUCAGCAACACUGGGACUGAGACACGGCCCAG
rnacentral:rRNA from 1 species